CAGCAGCCGCGGUAAUACCGGCAGCUCGAGUGGUCGUCGCUUUUAUAGGGCCUAAAACGUCCGUAGCCGGUUUGGUAAAUCUGUGGGUAAAUCAACUAGCUUAACUAGUUGAAUUCUGCAGAGACUGCCAGACUAGGAACCGGGAGAGGUGUGGGGUACUCAAGGGGUAGGGGUAAAAUCCUGUCAUCCUUUGAGGACCACCAGUUGCGAAGGCGCCACACUGGAACGGAUUCGACGGUCAGGGACGAAGCCUAGGGGCACGAACCGGAUUAGAUACCCGGGUAGUCCUAGGUGUAAACGCUGUGAACUUGGUGUCGGGAGUCCGCAAUGGGCCCCCGGUGCCGGAGUGAAAGGAUGUUAAGUUCACUGCCUGGGGAGUACGGUCGCAAGGCUGAAACUUAAAGGAAUUGGCGGGGGAGCACUGCAACGCGAGGAGCGUGCGGUUUAAUUGGAUUCAACGCCGGAAAACUCACCAUGGCCGACUGUUAGAUGAAGACCAGCGUAAUGAGCUUGUCGGAUUUUCAGAGAGGUGGUGCAUGGCCGUCGUCAGUUCGUACUGUAAAGCGUUCUGUUAAGUCAGAUAACGAACGAGACCCUCAUCUUUAUUUGGUACCCUUUUCUCCGGAGGAGGCGCACCAUAGAGAGACCGCUGGUGCUAAACCAGAGGAAGGCGAGGGCAACGACAGGUCAGUAUGCCCCGAAUGUCAUGGGCUACACGCGCGGUACAAAGGACGGGACAAUGGGAAGCCAGAUCGAGAGAUCGAGCUAACCCGAAAACCCGUUCAUAGUUCGGAUUGUGGGCUGUAACUCGCCCACAUGAAGCUGGAUUGCGUAGUAAUCGUGUUUCAACAUAGCACGGUGAAUAUGCCCCUGCUCCUUGCACACACCGCCCGUCAAACCAUCUUAGUUGGGGGUGGGUGAGGCUGCGCUUUAUGGCGUAUUCGAGCCUGUCUUUGACAAGGAGGGUUAAGUCGUAACAAGGUAACCGUA
rnacentral:rRNA from 1 species